rfam:Gossypium raimondii Chr11_contig_222, whole genome shotgun sequence.
AUACCAUGGUGAGGGCACUUUCGCAAUAAUUCCUUGAACCGCUCUCAUGCAUCAUAUAAUGGUUCGUCAUCAAGUUGUUGGAAUGUGGUGAUUUCAUUUUGAUGUUU